rnacentral:lncRNA from 10 species
UCACUGGAUUACAUAACAAGGACAUGGUGGGAUGGGAAUUUGAGCCAGGUCAGUAGCUCUCAGAGCCACUACUGCCUCAAGUGUCUUGCAUACAACAUUCAACCUGUUUCUGCUGAGGGUAUAAGAGCAUCCCCAUCAUCAGCCAUGAAUGAAUUGAUUAACUGAUUUCAUAUCACCCUGGGAAGGGAGGCCAUCUCUUCAUCUGACUGCCUCCUUUUCAUCUUCCUCCUCUGCCUUAAAAACCUUCUCCCUCUAGGGAGGCCCCCAAUCAUCCCAGCCCUCCCCUACUCCUCAAAGCUGGGUACACAGCUCCCCCACACUUCACCCACCUGUAGAGUUCCUAAGGCCACCUGCUCUUGGACAGGUGUACCUAGGUGGCACCUCACCUCCUGGGAGCAGGAAUAAAAUCUGAUUCAUCAAACUGACCUCCGCUGUCCCAGAACCAAGCUUGGAAAUUUGUGUGGUUGGGCAUCAAUUUAGUGAGCACCUGCUGGGUUAAAAAAAAAUUAACAAUUUAUUUUUACCUUUCCUUUUAAGAGAAUUUAAAGACACUUGAAGAAUACAUAAAAUAAAAGAAAGAAACCUAAAUUAGAAGUUGGGGGAAAAAAGAAAAUAGAGAAACAUAUAAAAUAUAAAAGAAAAUAAAUAAAAAUAUAAGAUAAAGCCGGGAAGAAGGCUACAUAAACAUGCUGCGGUAGGCAGAAUAGUGGCCCUCAGAAGAUUCCAUGUCCUAAUCCUUG